GGGUUGUAACUAACCCACUACUCCAAAUGGGUUCAAGCUCCACUGGGCUUCAAAGGUCUCCUCCAAUUCGGUCUGGGCCCAAAGGGCCUGCUGCACUUGUUUUUUGGUUUGGGCUUGAAUAGUCCAAUAAUGCCUUAGCCCAAGGAGGAAGUCAAGCCUGCUGCAACAGCCCACUUAAUCCUCUUCAAUGUGCACCGUUUUUGGCUUCAAAACGACGUCGUUUUGGUCUUUUAUACCUAGCUAUAAAAGCUUCUUUUCUUUUCUCUCUCUUCACUUUCCUCUCUCACUUUCGCUCUCUUGCCGCCACUCUCUCUAUCUUCUCCUUAAGCUUUUCUUUUUUUUUCUUCCUCAUUCUUCCUCUCUCUCUUUCUCUCUCUUGCCGCCACUCUCUCUAUCUUCUCCUUAAGCUUUUCUUUUUUUUUUUUU
rnacentral:lncRNA from 1 species